rnacentral:lncRNA from 1 species
CAAAGUGUUCCUCUCCCUCGUGGCCCCCUUCCCCAGGCAGCCUUGCUCUGCUCUCACAGCCCAGAGACCCAGGAUGGUGUCAUCCAUGCAUGAAGCAGAGGUCCUGUUCAUCCUUGCAGACUCUGGGCUGCCUUGUAAAGCCUCAGCCCUUGGGUGAAGACUGUUGGGCGAGAAACAAAAACGUCAGCGCCCUAAGCAGUGACAGACUGAUCAAGGACAUGUCUCCUCUUCAGACAGAAACACCAUCUGUUCAUGAUGUUGAGUCUGACAUCCCUCAAAGCGAGAUUUUCCAGGAAUCCAGACUGGAGAGAGUAAUGUGAUUUGUGCUGCUGGUAAUUAGUAUCUCUUGUGGUCUGGCAUGCUACAAGUUGACCAUCAGGUGGAUAUAACAGGCAGAAAUUCGGGGAUUUUUUUUUUUUGUUGCCUCACAAAGCAGCAGCAGAUCUGUUCCAAAUGGGGUUUGGUCUCCAGGGACAGGUUGAAUGUGGAAAGUGAUAAUCCCUCAUUUUACUCAUAGUAUCUUAGCCUGCUUCCACUGGGAAAUCAAGUCUGUUGGUCUAAAUCACCGUGUGGCUGCUUUUCCCCACGGGGAUGAGGAAUGAAGGUGUUUUCAUCUGAGGCACCUGAGAGCACGUUUGCAGUCAGGCUCUGAUGUUGUCCAUGGCUCAACUGGGCAGCAGUGCCUUGCUCAAAGGGGUGCUGGAGUGCCUGGAUGGACAGGAAUUCUCUGUGGGCAGGACAAUGAAUCCUGGGGUGGAUUUGGUUCCCAUGUGGAUGAUGGACUCAGGUGGUCCAUCAUCCACAGGCAGAAAGUGGCACGGCUGGCUGACUCUCCCUGUGUGUAGGGCUCAGCCCUGAGAAUGGUUAUUGCUUUCCCUCAGAUUCCAUCACCUUUGUUUUUCUCCAUCAUCAAAAUUCCAGGGCUGGUUUGUGAUGCCGCCUGGAUCCCAUCCUCAGGAAUGUCCUCAAACUCACCUAAGGCACACUCCCAAUAGCAGAGCAUAAAUCCUCUUGGAAGAGCAGGUCCUUGCUCACAUGAUGCCUCCUGUUUGGGGCCUGACUCUGCUACCACAUACAGCAGUGGUUCUUGUGGUGAUACCCAAAUGCAGAUCAGAUGUGUUGGUGUAUUCUUCCUGGAGAAGCAGGGGAAAAUAAGGAAAACUGUUCUAAUAUGUAACAUGUAACAUCCAAUGUGUAAUCUCUUAGAUGGGAAGCACAUUCUGAUUUCAGUUUACGAGGAACAAACAGUCAGUCCUUCAACUAAAAUCUCUACCAGCACUUCUUUUAAAGAAGAUGUAACACUGAAGUGCCUGAUGAACAGCAUUUGAAAUGAUGAAGUAGAGCUACUGAUGGGCACAGUGUGUGGUUUUGUCUCUUCCAGAUCAACUGCACUUUGGUGUGAUCUGCCUGGCAGAGAUGAUGUGACAGAGGAGGAUGAAUUGGGUGUUUGCCUCCUGGGUGAAUAAAACCACAUAACUUCAGGCCUUCUCUUCCA